GGCUUCGGUGAUGUCUACGGCAAGGGGGUAGCAUCUCGUUUACACCGAGAGGGUCCGCGGUUCGAAUCCGUGACCGCCCA
rnacentral:tRNA from 1 species